UGGGUAAGUGUGGGCCCUAAGCAUGACUGGUGUCCUUAUAAGGAGCGGGACAUUUAGAUAGAGAUGUGCACAAAGAGAAGGUGGCUGUGUGAAGAGGGAGGCAGACCUGGCAGUGAUGCUGCCACAAGCCCAGAAACGCCAAGGAGUGUCGGUGACCCCCAGAAGUGAGGAAGUGGCAAGGAAGGACCCUCACCUAGAGCCUUUGAGAGAACAUGGCCCUGCUGACACCUUGAUUUUGGACGCCUGGACUCCAGAACGGAAGUCUUCAUUUGUGGCCUUGUAUCCAUCACAACUGGACAAUCGACUCUCUGAGGAUUCUUCCAGGGAAAGUAAAGGUACUCAAACAGACUUCCAUGCCAACAACUACCAGAUUCGGUCUUGGGGUCUGCUCUCCAGUAGCCUACAGUUUACGAAUGUUGUUUCACGUGGAAAUAAGAACAAGAGGAUUGUGUAUUUUUGCUUCUCACCCCAAGAAUCCAGGUUGAAAACAAAACAGAAAGGAGGCCUAAUCUGAUGAUACUUCUCACAGUAGAAUUCGGAACAGAGCAGUAAAGUAGAGCACAGAGAUCUUACCUGUCGCCCUUAAACGUCCUCUUCCUAAUCACAGUCCAGAGGACUCAUGUUCCCAACCCCGCUGUGCUGACUAAGCUGGGGAGGACAGCCUGCUUACAAGACUUGCAGUCUUCCCUCUGAUCUACUCAGUCUCCACAGGCAGGAGUGACUGUCCCCGUUCCAUCCCCAAAACAAAGCAUCAAAACCAGUCACACAGACCUGGGUUCAAAGCCAGAGUCCGCCGCUUACCGAGGGAUCAUCAGCAUCAACUUCCUCAUCUGGAGAAUGAGAACUAUAAAGAAGAUUCAAUAAGCUGAUAUGUGCAGAGGCUCUAGCCUCAGGCACGACCCAAAUUCAAAGCCUUCUUGGGACACUGUCAUGACCAGUGUCCCUGCCGACUUCCCAUGCACACCCACCCAGCUCAGCUCCUGAGAUAAUAGAAAAUAUCCAGAGCCCUGGCCACCCCUGCCCAAGGGACCUGGGCUUCUUUCUGCAGCCAUAAGCCUGGCCUCUAGUGCUGCAGAGGGCAGAGAAAACAGGCUGCGGGAGCUGAGAAGAGAGAAGCUCGAAGGCCACCGGGAUUGUUGCAGUUACAGUCACACGGGCUGGGGUUGGGGUUACACUCCAGACUGGGGAUGCAGAGACAGUGCAGGGAAACCCUGGCAAAGGGGAAGGCUGCAGGUUGGAGGCAACCCAGUGUCCCCAGAGGCAGGCCAAGUCCACAGUCAGACACCAGCAAAGCAGCAGCACCC
rnacentral:lncRNA from 1 species